GGUACGAAGGGUAUUACAGUGAAGAAUCUCUGUCCCUGCCACCCAUCCAGGGGGAAGGGCCCAGAGGCCUGGGGGUAGGGGAGGAGGGCUGGAGGUCAGUGAAGAAUUCCUAAGGGUCAGGCCUCUGUGGGGCCACACCCCUUUCCUUCCCUGGGCCCCUCCUCCCUCCUUCGGCGUCCCCUCCGAUAGACACCACCAACCUGCGUUUCGCCCGUCUGCCACUCCUUUCGCCAGUCCGCUGCUAUUUCAGGACAAGCUGAGCCAACCUCAAGUAAUAACUUCCGCCUUCUGCAAAACCCACCAAUCAGCACUUAUCCAUCAGCAUACCUUACGUGCAUAACUUCCUCCUCCCCAGACCUGAGUGAAAACUACAGACGGGAACGUCCUUCCCUGCCCCUCUAUCUUUCAGGCACGCCCCUUUCACGUUCAGUAAACCCACCAAUCAAAACUUACCUCUCAGUACCCCUCAUUUGCAUAAGAAUUCACCAAUAAGCUCCUACCCAAGGGGAUAAAUAACCAAGGCUGUACAGACUAGCGCCUGGAGGCAGUCACAGUAGGUUUCUCUAAAAGCGUGUAUGUGGAGCACAGGCUCCAAUAUAACUCGAGACCCCUCUGCACGCUUCCAAAAAUAAACCUGACUCUGCCUUUGAGCUCUUUCUCUCUUUCCUUUGUUUCUGUCCGACCCACUUCCGCACAGGGUUGUAGGCGGAGAAUCUGGAGAAAUCUCUUGGCCUUCGCUCCUCAGCUGUUAGUCUUUGUCAUACCUUGUUACCAAACUCUCUCUGCCUGCAGUCCUCCUGCCGGUCCUGAGCGGUCCGUCUGGAUUUAAGUCUUUGCUCUUCUCUCCAAUGCCACGUCCAUGUCCACAAACCCCUGAAAGAGUAGGGGCUUAGGUGUCCCUACUGGAAUGGCCCUGCUCCUGUGAGACUUGGAACCCUCAAAGAAGAGGCCUGACCUUUCUGAGGACUGACAGCUGAGAUACCAAGUAUUGGCGGUUCUCUCCCAUCCUAGAGCCGCCUAUCUGGGCACGUUGGAAGAUGGCGUUUUCCUUCUCCUUGAAGUUAGACACAGCUACAUGGCUGUUGAGCCAAUAAAACCGGAGCGUAAGUGAACUAUGACUCUUCCAAUGCCAGUGCUCUUCUCUCCAGACCUUCCUGCCCAGACUUCGACCAGUUCAGUCACAGGAGCUCAUGUCCACGUGGAGGUGAGGUAGGAGUGGGAGCAGCCUGGUAGGCUGAGCAAACACACAGUGGGACACUGCGUGGAGAGGUGCCUGGAGCCCAGCAGAUUUGUGCACUCACUUCUGUUCCUGCUGGUGGCAACGAAGAGAGAGACUCAUGCAGCUUUCCUUCAACUUCCUUGGCUGCUGAGCAGACAUGUGACAGUUCUGGCCAAUCAAAUGUACCCACGAGGAGUUUUCAGCUUGCAGUAUGGGAUCUGGAGAACCGAGGGCGCGUCCUUUGUGCCCAUGGCGGAAUCCUCAUCAGGCUAGUUCUUGGAAAAUCUUAAAAAGGAACAACACUGUGUUCAUCUGGGAUGCACUGAGGAGAGCUGGAGACGGAUGUGCUGGCCAGCAUCUAGAUUUGGCUUAGAGGGACAUCCUCAAGGACCCACAGGAGGAGAGAGAAGAAAGCUGACCCAAGGACAUGGGAUCACGGCCAUGAGAAGCAUGUGUGGGACUGCCUAGAAAGAAAACUACACACCAAUACUCCUUUUGAACACUGAUGGAAAACAUCUCCACCAAAAUACUAGCAAACUGAAUUUAGCAGCAUAUUAAAAGGAUUAUACACUAGGGCAAAGUGGGAUUGAUUCCCAGUGUGCAAAGUUGGUUCACAUACAAAAUCCAUCAAUGUAAUACACUACAUUAGCAGAAUGAAGGGAAAAACCCAUAUGAUGCAUAAAACGCAUUAUGACAAAAUUUAAUACCCUUUCAUGAUAAAGAAAAAUACUCAACAAACUAGGAAUAGAAGGAAACUACCUCAACAUAAUAGAAAACCACACAUGAAAAACCCACAGGGAACAUCACACUCAGUGGUGGAAGACUGAAACCUUCCACUAACGUCAAGAACAAGGCAGAGAUGUCCAUUUUCACAACUCCUGUUUGACAUUACUGGAAAUUUUAGCCAGAGCAGUUAGGCAAGAAACAGAAGUAAAAGCCACUUAAAUCACAGAGAGGAUGGAAAACUCUCUCUGUUAACAGAGGAUAGAGUCGGAUAAAGAAAAUCCUAAGGAAUACAAUCAAAUACUGUUAUGGCUAGUAAAUGAAGUCAGCAAGGUAGCAGAAUACAAAAUUAAAGACCGAAAUCAGUUGUAUUGCAGAGGGUGGGUAGAAUGCCCAGGGGCAGAAUGCAUGCUUAGCACACAGGAGGUCCUAGGUGCAAUCCCCACUUCCUCCAUUAGAAAAAAAAAAAGUCAGUUGCAUUUGUAUACACUAACAAUGAACAAUCCUAAAUGAAAACUACCCCCCAAAUCCAUUUACAAUAUAGCAUUAAAAUAAAAUACUUAGGAACAAACUUAACCAAGAAACUGAAAGACUUGUACAAUGCAAACUAUAAAACAUUGCUGGGAAUAAUUAAAGAAAACAUAAAUAGAAAUAUAUUCCAUGUUCAUGGAAUGAAAGACUUAAUAAAGAUAUAAUCUGUA